rnacentral:rRNA from 1 species
GUCUAUGGCUAUGCCACCGUGAACAAGCCAGAUCUUGUCUGAUCUCCGAAGAAGCUAAGCAGGGUCGGGCCUGCUUAAUAUUUGGAUGGGAGACUACCUAGGAAGACCAGGUGCUGUAGGCG